AUCUACUCAAAAAUCGAAAGGCUUGACCCUGUUCCGUUUGGAGAAUGACCCUUAUGGCAUGGCUUAGUCAGUUAUUAUCGCAGUUCAUAUAAGAUUCAGACCGCCACUUCUCUGAAAGCAAAAAUUCAAUUUACUUUCCUCAUCCACCACCGAACCCUAACCCUAAUCCUAAUCCUAUUUCUUCUUUUCUCUCUGUUUUUGCUUUGCAACAAUUCCAUAUAUGAAUACCAAGUCGCAACUUUCAUGAGAAUAUUGCGAAUCAAUUGCAUGAGUUUGGAGAAUGUCGGAGCUUCGUAGUGGACCGUGACGACGUCGUGCUCCGGUUUGGUCGUAGAAGCUCGGAACCACCGUCUUCGUGGGCGAGAUACAUCAAGAUGCGACGGAUGCGACGGAGAGUCCGCAGACUCUUUUGAGUGAAUUCUGAAGCUUUAUUGAGUAGCGAUUGAUCGGAAAGAAAGAAGGACGAAUCAGAACCCACAAUCGAGUGAAGGAAGAGGCAAUGCCGCUGCUCUCUCUGAUUUUAUCGCUUCCUUAAUGGAUUACACUCCCACGGUAACUUUCUUUUAUCUCUGUUCUUCCAAUUUCCCAUUUUGCCCAAUUUAAUCACUGUCCUUCUUUGUUUAGAUACCUGAUGAAUUGGUGAAGCAUUACUUGGCUAAGAUCGGUUUCAAUGUUAAGAUUGAAUCUGUAUACACGAGCUUUUGAAUUUCUUUUGUUGUUUAGUUAGAGGCAGGGAGUGUUUGUUAAUUCGUUUUAGUGCCAACCACUGCAUUUAAAAUUCCCUUAUUGCCAUGGUUCUUUUCAUGUUGAAUACAAAACUUUAACACAUUCAAAUAUCUUUUGUCAUUUUACAAGUUCCUAACUGAAAUCUUACAUGAAAUUUGCGUGCUCAUUUGUAUUUUAGUUGAAAUUCCUACAUUUUCUUAAUAUUUGUGUUUGUGUUGUCAAUUUGAUGCUGCAAAAUUAAGGAAGCUUCGACCUAGCUUUAAACAGGUUGGGGUUCUGUGACUACUGGCAAUGCUUCUAGCAUAAGGUUCUUCCCUUCCCUUGUGUUCCUUGAUACCUAAAUGCUAAGUAGCAUAAGGUUCUUCCCUUCCCUUGUGUUCCUUGAUACCUAAAUGCUAAGGGGGUUGUUCUUGCCCCUUCUUUCAUUUGCUAAAAAAUUGAUAUUUGUGUCGUGUCAUGCAAUAUAGGGUACCGUAAUCAUAAGGUAAUCAUAAGGUUCUGCUUAGUCUUCUAUUGAUAAUGGACUGGUUGAUUUUGCCAGUGAUGAUGUUGUUGCAUUAGUUCUAGUAAGUGGAGAAAAGGCACGUGAGCUUGGACUACACGUAAUCGCAAAGAUAAAAGGAUAUGGGGCAACUAAGGUGUUGUAACAAGUUAGUGUUAACUUGCUUUGGUCUUGAUUAAUAUCCACAUAUUUAAAGUUAAUGAAUAAGUGUUUUUGCAGGCACCAGAAUUAUUUACAACUGCUUCUGCCCUUGCAACUACAUCUGGCUGCUUCAGCAUUUUGAUUCCUCAUAUAACAAUGCCUUAAUAAUAGAUAAUUGAUGUACUUCAUUUUAAAUGCAGGAAAAAGUUAAUGUACAUGGUGGAGCUGUAUCAUUGGGGCAUCUUUGGGUUGUAGUGGAUCUCAAAUCUUAGUCACAUUAUUAUUGUGACCUUGGUUACUUAUCAUUUUCUUUCACCCUUGGCACUUGUAAAUCAUGCACCUGUUAUCCAUUACAUUUUAUAAUUCUAGUGUGGUCUACACUUUCCAAGUUUUUGUGAUUUGUGGAUAUCAAUUUGGUAAAAGUUAUAUAUAUAUAUAUAUAUAUAUAUAUGCAUUGGAAGAUUCAGGCACAAGAAACAUAAAGCUAAAUAAGAGCUGAAUCUCAU
rnacentral:lncRNA from 1 species